GAGGUAGGUUACCUUCAUAUUUGUAUGUGCGCAUGUCCAACCGGAAGCUAACGUGACGAUUUACGACGACGUUUACGACAAACUAAAUGUGUUUGUAUAUUCAUUCUUCUGAAAACAAAUCAUGAACCUGUCUUCGUUCUGAUGCUUUAUGGUUUAAUAAUUCAGAAAUAAUGAAUAAAUUGCCGCAGAAACGCUUCAAAACAAUGUUGCCUUAAAAUGACGCCACCGACGUCAUGACGUUACGUGUCAGUUACCGCGCAAAAUUAAUAGUUUUUGUCUUGAAAGUACGUAAUUCUGUGCAUUUUUUUUUAUUUUUUACUAUUUUCAAAUAACCAUUAUUUGCUGAAAUAUUUUAUGAGUCUUUUGCGCUGAAUAAAAAUCAAUAUUUUGCUUCUUUUAUGUAGUUAUAUUGAAAUGUUAUGCGGAAUGUAAGAAAAUGGAUGAUGGUAACCAAUGUUAUUUGGUAUAUAGUUGGGUGAAAGGUUCUUGUUACGGCCAUUUUCAAAUAAAAAUCUAGCAGUUUGAUUUGUAAUACCUAUUUUUCAGGUUCCGUUGAUAAUUUGUUACUUAUAUACUAAAACUAAGAUCUAAAAUUGUUCAAAUUUCGGUAGAAAAAUGUGGUUUCUUGAAUUGAAUUGAUGUUACCAUGGAAACGAAGCCCGUGACCUAUGUAUCUAAAUGUAAAAUUCAAAAGCGUUGACACUGGUCUAUUUAAGAAACACAGCUUCGGCUUUUUAUUUUCAUUUCAACAAUAUCCAUGAGAAUAAUAGUAGCAUACUGAACGAUUUUUCCAUGAAAAAGGCCAGACGAGGGGUACAGCUGUAAGUAUUCUAAGCUGUGAAAUUUGUUUGAAUAAAUGCAGAUAACACGAAAAUAUAACUUACGUUAGAAAUAAUAUGUUUUAUAGCUACAUUAACAAGAAAGAUAAUCUUAUUCAAUAUUUUUUAUAAGAAACUACGACAAAAAGCAAGAUAUAAGCUAUCUUAAACAUCUCUGUUGCCAUGGUUACUUUAAACUUUAAGAAAAAUAGGGUACCAUGUAAAGUGCUUGGUAUUUUGCUAAUAAUAUUACGCAAAUAUUCCAUGUUGGUCAUUAACAGAAUGGCACUGAGGCCGUCGAAAACCCCUAUUUUUAUACACAGUUGUUUAAAAAUGAGAGAAAAUGCGUUACCAUGGAAACACGAACCCCGCGACAUAUACAUUUUAAGCUUUUAUUAGAAAGAUAACGUGCAUACUAGUAAAAUUAUCAAUUAUGCAGACUUCUACGGAUAUCAAUGAAACUAAAAUACACUGAAAAGUGUUAAAUAUCCAUAUUUUCCUUCUUCUUUCAAUAUGAAAUACCUUUGGAGGGUCAUGCACUUCAAACCUGGAUAAAAACUGAACUUGAAGGGACAGAGACAAACGAAAUUGAGAUUAUAGCAGUUAAAACUUCAUAUUACACGAAAUACAAAAAUGUGCUGUGGUUCAACUAAUUUGAAUUUACCCUUGUAACAAGGUAACCUACCUCCUUAAGUAAAUUAUUUGCAACUUCAUUGUUGAUGAAUAAUUAUAAAUAGAGUCAAACCCGUGCUAAGCAGCCAGCCGAGAGAGUCUCACUGCUUAUGGUAGUCAGCUGCUAAAGACAAGUUGAAAUUGGAACAAAAUGUCAAUUUGGGAAGUACAUGACUGGCUGCUUAAGGCAGGUGGCUGCUGAAUACAGGUGGUUACUGAAUACAGGUGGUUACUGAAUACAGGUGGCUGCUGAAUACAGGUGGUUACUGAAUACAGGUGGCUGCUGAAUACAGGUGGCUGCUGAAUACAGGUGGUUACUGAAUACAGGUGGUUGCUUAAACAGGUUUAUCUGUAGAUAGAUGUAAAAUAUGAAAUCAGUCGGUGUAGCAUUUAUCAAUGCUCCAUGGUUAAAAUUCUGUUCAAAACAAGUAAAAUUUCUCGAGUUAUUUUUGUGUCUAAAAUCCAAAAUGCUUAGCAUAUGGAUCAUUCUUAACACUGUUGUAUGACUAUAAUUUUUUGAAAUGUGUAGGUUAGUGGUAAAGAUAUAAUAUGUCAGAAAUUCUGUAUCACUUCAGUGCAGUAGAAAAUCAUUAAUUGUAUUCAACACAAGAUAGUAUACAGUGACAGUUUUAUAUAUAUUGCUUCUAAAUAUCCAUGCUUUUUGUACCUUUUUACUGCUGAAAUGCUUACUAGUAUGUAUUAUUUUUUUUUACCGUAAAAUCUUUAAUCUUCUGUUGAUAUGCUGACAUUAUCGUAUUUUGUGCAUUUAUGUCACAUUCAUCCAGCAGAAUUAUAUAGAGUCAAACUCACAGUUUCGUGUUCAGUCUUAGUGUUUGAUCUGUUGUUUAUAGUCAGUGGUGUAAAUGAAAUAUGUUUUGUAAUUUUUGUGCGCAGCACUUAAAAAUCUUCAUGUAAACAAUUUGUGUCGGUCAUUUUUUUG